rnacentral:rRNA from 1 species
CCCUUCCUACGGGGGGCAGCAGUGAGGAAUAUUGGUCAAUGGGCGGAAGCCUGAACCAGCCAAGUCGCGUGAGUGCCUCCGGCCCUCCGGGUCGUCCCCCUCUUUUUCCGGGGCUCCCGGGCCGGGCCGCGUCCCGGUCCGGAGCGUACCCGGCGAACCCGCCUCGGCUCCCUCCGUGCCCGCCGCCGCGGUCCUCCGGCGGCUGCGCGCGUUCUCCGGCUUUCUUGGGUUUCCCGGGUGCGUCGGCGGGCUUUUCCGUC